rnacentral:lncRNA from 1 species
AACCAAAUCAUAUCUAAUUUAACCCAAAUAAAAAAUAUAAAAUUUAAUUUAAUUAGGUUCAUAAAUUUUUAAUCAAAUUUUAAUCAAAUUAAAAAUUGAUCAAAUCAAAAUCCUAAUCAAAUCAGGGAUAAUUCUCUCUUAGCAAUUAGAUUAUCUCAUAACCUAAUCGGAUCAAACCUAAUUGAAUCAAAUUCAAUUAAAUUUUAUUUAAU